rnacentral:rRNA from 1 species
ACGUAGGGGGCAAGCGUUGAUCAGAAUCACUGGGCGUAAAGCGUGCGCAGGCGGUUAUGCAAGACAGGGGUGAAAUCCCCGGGCUCAACCUGGGAACUGCACUUGUGACUGCAUGACUAGAGUGCGUCAGAGGGAGGUGGAAUUCCGCGUGUAGCAGUGAAAUGCGUAGAGAUGCGGAGGAACACCGAUGGCGAAGGCAGCCUCCUGGGAUGACACUGACGCUCAUGCACGAAAGCGUGGGGAGCAAACAG